rnacentral:rRNA from 1 species
AGCGAACGCUGGCGGCAGGCCUAACACAUGCAAGUCGAACGAACCUUUCGGGGUUAGUGGCGGACGGGUGAGUAACACGUGGGAACGUGCCUUUAGGUUCGGAAUAACUCAGGGAAACUUGUGCUAAUACCGAAUGUGCCCUUCGGGGGAAAGAUUUAUCGCCUUUAGAGCGGCCCGCGUCUGAUUAGCUAGUUGGUUGAGGUAAUGGCUCACCAAGGCGACGAUCAGUAGCUGGUCUGAGAGGAUGAUCAGCCACAUUGGGACUGAGACACGGCCCAAACUCCUACGGGAGGCAGCAGUGGGGAAUCUUGCGCAAUGGGCGAAAGCCUGACGCAGCCAUGCCGCGUGAAUGAUGAAGGUCUUAGGAUUGUAAAGUUCUUUCACCGGGGACGAUAAUGACGGUACCCGGAGAAGAAGCCCCGGCUAACUUCGUG